rnacentral:rRNA from 1 species
AUGGAAGGUAACAAUUUAAAGCAUAACUCGUUUGAUGCCUUGUAUGAUCCUGUUCUUAUUCUAAGAGCUAUUAAGAUGGGCGUUGAUAUACCAGACUCUGAUUUUGCUAAUAUAGAUAUUUUAAGAGAACUGGAAAGAUCCAGAAAUAGUGAUUUCUGGGAAGGUAAAGAUGUUAGUAAUAAUGAUAGUAAUAACAUCCUGAUGCUGACAAAUGGAAAAGGGGACCAAACUCCUCUGGACAUGAAAUGGAGUGAGGAAAAUGAGCUGGAUGAGGAACCUUUUACUUUAGUGCGGUCUAGGAAAAAAAGGAGAGAAAAGUGA